rnacentral:lncRNA from 1 species
CCCCCCCCCGGAGCUUGAGGGCGCCAGGUUGCCCUGCAUCACGCACUCCUAUCAUCCAUUACACACACCUCCCUUCCUUCGUCACGCGCAUCAGCGAUAUUGGACUCACCUGGACUCACUCAUCACCUGUUAUUACCUCCCCUAUAUUUCGUCAACUCGUGACAGAAUGCAGCAGCCUUCACACGAAGCAUCGGGGAGUACUGGCGUUCCGGUUGGUAUGGAGGCAUCGGCUCUGGGUCGCCACCGAUGGAACCGGGGGUGCCUAGCCAGCUCAUCGGGCUCCCACGUCCUAGCUGGCUCGAGAGGUUUCCUUUCCCUGGUUGGCUCAGAUGGCACCCAUCCCACGUUGGGCCUCAGCCAGAUCAUCAGUUCUUGUUCGCCCAGCCGGUCCAGGAGUUUUUUUGUUUGUUUGUUUUUUGUUUAGUUGGUGAUGUUGGGGUGGAUUCCACCACCGAUGGAAGCAGGGGUGUCUAAGCCAGCACAUCAGGCUUUCACGCCCUGGCUGGCUCGAGAGGUUUCCUUGCCUCGGGUUGGUUCGGCGGCUUCCCAUCCCAUGUCACACUCCACCGGAUCUUCGGGCUCCCUCUCUGCAGUGGGAUCGACAGGCGUCUUGCCUCAGCCGGAUCACCGGGCUUCCAUGCCUCAGCCGGUGUGUCAGGCUCUCACGCUCCUGCCGUUUCAUUGGGCUUCCAUGCCCCAACUGGCUUGCCCAGCGCCCAUGUCUCGGCCGUUUUGCCCAGGUGGGAUGCCGGUACUGUCACAUCUGCUCCCGCCCCCCCCCCGGAGCUUGAGGGCGCCUGGCUGCCCUGCAUCACGCACUCCUAUCAUCCAUUACACACCCCUCCCUUCCUUCGUCACGCGCAUCAGCGAUAUUGGACUCACCAAGACUCACUCAUCACCUGUUAUUACCUCCCCUAUAUUUGUCAGUUCCCCAGCUCUGUUCCCCGCUUCUGCAUUGAUUGUUGUUUGUCUUUGUUUUCUUGUAUGCUGACGCUGUUCCUGUCUCAUUCCAUGUCCGUUCCUUAUUAAAUGUUUGACUCCCUGUACUUGCUUCGUCUCUCCAACGUCAACUCAUGUGACAAGUGGAACACUGGUGUCACAUGUGGAAAAGUAGUAAUAGACAUUGCAGGUUUGC